AGGGUUUGAUCAUGGCUCAGAAUGAACGUUGGCGGCGUGGAUUAGGCAUGCAAGUCGAGCGGAAAGGCUACCUUCGGGUAGUACUCGAGCGGCGCAAGGGAGAGUAACGCGUGGAUACCUACCCCUAGCUUUGGCAUAGCGGUGGGAAACUGCCGGUAAUUCCGAAUAUCGUCUCCGGACGAAAGGUGUGAUUCCGGCUAGGGAGGGAUCCGCGUCCUAUUAGGAAGAUGGUGGGGUAACGGCCUACCAUUCCAUAGAUGGGUAGCGGGUGUGAGAGCAUGGCCCGCCUCACUGGGACUGAGACACUGCCCAGACACCUACGGGUGGCUGCAGUCGAGAAUCUUCGGCAAUGGGCGAAAGCCUGACCGAGCGACGCCGCGUGCGGGAUGAAGGCCUUCGGGUUGUAAACCGCUGUCAGAGGGGAGGAAAUAUUUAAGGGUCAUCCCUUUUAUUUGACCGAUCCUCAGAGGAA
rnacentral:rRNA from 1 species